rnacentral:rRNA from 1 species
UACGUAGGUGGCAAGCGUUGUCCGGAUUUACUGGGCGUAAAGAGCGCGCAGGCGGUCGAUUAAGUCGAGUGUGAAAGCCCCCGGCUCAACUGGGGAGGGUCAUUCGAUACUGAUCGACUUGAAGGCAGGAGAGGGAAGUGGAAUUCCGGGUGUAGUGGUGAAAUGCGUAGAUAUCCGGAGGAACACCAGUGGCGAAGGCGACUUCCUGGCCUGUUCUUGACGCUGAGGCGCGAAAGCUGGGGGAGCAAACGGG